rnacentral:snRNA from 1 species
UGGAGAUGGUCUAAUGUUCCAU